UGCAGAGGAAUGUUUUGAGGAGUGGCUAAGGAGGGAAGCUUUGUUUACAUCCUGAAAUAUGGUGCUAGUAUGACAUCUAGUGGCAGGAAAAGAAAUCAUAGCACCUUUAAAUGCUGCAGUGAAUGCAUGGUGCAUUUAAUGAAGUAGAGAUGCAAAUUGGUCAUCAGAGGACUAAAGAUCACUUGAGUGUAAGAAUGUAGUAAUGCAGAAAGUACAUUGGCUUUUGAUGUUUGUAACAGAUAUAUGGAUGUGGGAGUACGGUCCCUGCCAAAUUAUACACACUGUGACUUUGAAAUAUGCAGUAAAAGUCCUCUAUGUAUACACAGAGUGGAUAGUGUGGCUUCCAGUGUAUCAUUUCAAUCUGUUAUCCAUUAAAAAAAAACACCCACAUGAAGGCCAUCUGCUCUCCAUCAUGUAUUGAGGUCAGAGAUGACAUUCAUAUAUUGCCACCUUCCUAAAGUAAUGGCCUAAGUCAUAUUUUCCAAAACAUAACUUAGGCCAUUAUUUUAGGAAGGUGAAGAUACAAGCUUUGGA